AGCGAACGCUGGCGGCAGGCCUAACACAUGCAAGUCGAACGAAGUCUUCGGACUUAGUGGCGGACGGGUGAGUAACACGUGGGAACGUGCCUUUAGGUUCGGAAUAACUCAGGGAAACUUGUGCUAAUACCGAAUGUGCCCUUCGGGGGAAAGAUUUAUCGCCUUUAGAGCGGCCCGCGUCUGAUUAGCUAGUUGGUGAGGUAAAGGCUCACCAAGGCGACGAUCAGUAGCUGGUCUGAGAGGAUGAUCAGCCACGUUGGGACUGAGACACGGCCCAAACUCCUACGGGAGGCAGCAGUGGGGAAUCUUGCGCAAUGGGCGAAAGCCUGACGCAGCCAUGCCGCGUGAAUGAUGAAGGUCCUAGGAUUGUAAAAUUCUUUCACCGGGGACGAUAAUGACGGUACCCGGAGAAGAAGCCCCGGCUAACUUCAUGCCAGCCGCCGCCGUAAUAC
rnacentral:rRNA from 1 species